GGGCCUGUAGCUCAGCUGGUUAGAGCAGUGGACUCAAAAUCAAUUGGUCUUAGGUUCAAGUCCUACCGGGCCCA
rnacentral:tRNA from 1 species